rnacentral:rRNA from 1 species
GACGAACGCUGGCGGCGUGCUUAACACAUGCAAGUCGAACGAAGUGGCGAACGGGUGAGUAACGCGUAAACAACAUGCCCUUCAGAGGGGGACAACAGUUGGAAACGACUGCUACUACCGCAUAAUGAAGGAGGGGAUUGCGUCUGAUUCGAGAGUGGGGGGGGUAACGGCCCACCAAGGCGAUGAUGAGUAGCCGGUCUGAGAGGAUGAACGGCCACAUUGGUACUGAGACACGGCCCAGACUCCUACGGGAGGCAGCAGUUGGGAAUCUUCCGCAAUGGACGAAAGUCUGACGGAGCAACGCCGCGUGAGUGAUGACGGCCUUCGGGUUGUAAAGCUCUGUUAAUCGGGACGCGGUACCGGAAUAGAAAGCCACGGCUAACUACGUGCCAGCAGCCGCGGUAAUAC